GAUUAUGGCUCAGGAUGAACGCUAGCGACAGGCCUAACACAUGCAAGUCGAGGGGCAGCGCGGAGUAGCAAUACUUGGCGGCGACCGGCGCACGGGUGAGUAACACGUAUGCAACCAACCCAGUAACAGGGGGAUAACCCGGAGAAAUCCGGACUAAUACCGCAUAAGACCACGAUAUCGCAUGAUAUAGAGGUCAAAUAUUUAUAGGUUAUGGACGGGCAUGCGUCUGAUUAGCUGGUUGGCGGGGUAACGGCCCACCAAGGCAUCGAUCAGUAGGGGUUCUGAGAGGAAGGUCCCCCACAUUGGAACUGAGACACGGUCCAAACUCCUACGGGAGGCAGCAGUGAGGAAUAUUGGUCAAUGGGCGAAAGCCUGAACCAGCCAUGUCGCGUGAAGGAAUGAAGGUCCUAUGGAUUGUAAACUUCUUUUGCAGGAGGGUAAAGUGAGCUACGUGUAGUUCAUUGCAAGUACCCUGCGAAUAAGCAUCAGCUAACUCCGUGCCAGCCGCCGC
rnacentral:rRNA from 1 species